rnacentral:rRNA from 1 species
AUAUCAAUAAGGCGAGGAACAGAAACCAACAGGGAUUCCCUCAGUAGUGGCGAACGAAGCGGGAAGAGCUCAAGUUUGAAAUCUGGUCGGGCGACCUUCCAGAGUUGUAAGCUGAUGAGGAUUCGACCGACGUGGUCCGGGCUCAACUUCCUUGGAACGGGAGGUCAUGGAGGGUGAGAACCCCGUAUGUGGCUCGAGUGCCGUCGUCCUUGCGUCGUCUCCUCUAAGAGUCGGGUUGUUUGGGAAUGCAGCUCAAAAUGGGUGGUAAAUUUCAUCUAAGGCUAAAUAUUGGCGAGAGACCGAUAGCGCACAAGUA